UCCUACGGGAGGCAGCAGUCGAGAGGCUUCGGCAAUGGGGGAAACCCUGACCGAGCGACGCCGCGUGAGGGAUGAAGGCCCUUGGGUUGUAAACCUCUUUUGUUCGGGAAGAAGUGCGAUCAGGUGAACAAUCUGGUCGUUUGACGGUACCGGACGAAUAAGCUCCGGCUAACUCCGUGCCAGCAGCCGCGGUAACACGGGGGGAGCAAGCGUUGUUCGGAAUCACUGGGCGUAAAGGGCGUCUAGGCGGUCAGGUAAGUGGGAUGUGAAAUGCCCCGGCUCACCCGGGGACCGGCAUCCCAUACUGUCUGGCUUGAGUACGGGAGAGGAUGUGGGAAUUCCUGGUGUAGCGGUGAAAUGCGUAGAUAUCAGGAGGAACACCGGUGGCGAAGGCGCACAUCUGGCCCGAUACUGACGCUGAAGCGCGAAAGCUAGGGGAGCAAACGGGAUUAGAUACCCCGGUAGC
rnacentral:rRNA from 1 species